UCACUUACCUGGACGGGGUCGACUCGCGAUCAAUAAGACGAGUGGCCUAGGCUAGUGACUGAAUUGCACAUACCGUUGGGGUGCUAUGCUUAAGGUCUUCCCUUGAGGAAGAGCCUACGUCAUUAGUUGUGGCAGAGGGGGUUUGCGUUCGCGCAGCCCCUAC
rnacentral:snRNA from 1 species